AGCGAACAGACGAGGAGCUUGCUCCUCUGACGUUAGCGGCGGACGGGUGAGUAACACGUGGAUAACCUACCUAUAAGACUGGGAUAACUUCGGGAAACCGGAGCUAAUACCGGAUAAUAUAUUGAACUGCAUGGUUCAAUAGUGAAAGACGGUUUUGCUGUCACUUAUAGAUGGAUCCGCGCCGCAUUAGCUAGUUGGUAAGGUAACGGCUUACCAAGGCAACGAUGCGUAGCCGACCUGAGAGGGUGAUCGGCCACACUGGAACUGAGACACGGUCCAGACUCCUACGGGAGGCAGCAGUAGGGAAUCUUCCGCAAUGGGCGAAAGCCUGACGGAGCAACGCCGCGUGAGUGAUGAAGGUCUUCGGAUUGUAAAACUCUGUUAUUAGGUAAGAACAAAUGUGUAAGUAACUAUGCACGUCUUGACGGUACCUAAUCAGAAAGCCACGGCUAACUACGUGCCAGCAGCCGCGGUAAUACGUAGGUGGCAAGCGUUAUCCGGAAUUAUUGGGCGUAAAGCGCGCGUAGGCGGUUUUUUAAGUCUGAUGUGAAAGCCCACGGCUCAACCGUGGAGGGUCAUUGGAAACUGGAAAACUUGAGUGCAGAAGAGGAAAGUGGAAUUCCAUGUGUAGCGGUGAAAUGCGCAGAGAUAUGGAGGACACCAGUGGCGAAGGCGACUUUCUGGUCUGUAACUG
rnacentral:rRNA from 1 species